rnacentral:ribozyme from 1 species
UGCCCAUCAACUCCUAUCCCUACCUCCUCGUGGUACUGGCAGGGGUACGAGCAACCUUAGGGAAGA